GAUGAACGCUGGCGGCGUGCUUAACACAUGCAAGUCGAACGGAAAGGCCCAAGCUUGCUUGGGUACUCGAGUGGCGAACGGGUGAGUAACACGUGGGUGAUCUGCCCCGCACUUCGGGAUAAGCCUGGGAAACUGGGUCUAACACCGGAUAGGACAGUGGUUUGGAUGCCAUUGUGGAAAGUUUUUUCGGUGUGGGAUGAGCUCGCGGCCUAUCAGCUUGUUGGUGGGGUAAUGGCCUACCAAGGCGUCGACGGGUAGCCGGCCUGAGAGGGUGUACGGCCACAUUGGGACUGAGAUACGGCCCAGACUCCUACGGGAGGCAGCAGUGGGGAAUAUUGCACAAUGGGCGCAAGCCUGAUGCAGCGACGCCGCGUGGGGGAUGACGGCCUUCGGGUUGUAAACUCCUUUCGCUAGGGACGAAGCGUUAUGUGACGGUACCUAGAGAAGAAGCACCGGCUAACUACGUG
rnacentral:rRNA from 1 species